UAAUACGAGGGGGGCAAGCGUUGUCCGGAAUUAUUGGGUGUAAAGGGCUCGUAGGCGGAUCGAUCAGUCGAGAUUUAAAUCUCACGGCUCAACCGUGAACCUGGUCUCGAUACUGCCGGUCUUGAGUUCGGUAGAGGAAAGUGGAAUUCCUGGUGUAGCGGUGAAAUGCGUAGAUAUCAGGAGGAACGUCGAUGGCGAAGGCAGCUUUCUGGGCCGCAACUGACGCUGAGGAGCGAAAGCAUGGGUAGCGAACAGGAUUAGAUACCCUGGUAGUCCAUGCCGUAAACGAUGAGUACUUGAUGGUGGGGGAUUCGACCCCUUCACUGUCGGAGCUAACGCGUUAAGUACUCCACCUGGGGACUACGGCCGCAAGGCUG
rnacentral:rRNA from 1 species